rnacentral:rRNA from 1 species
UGCGUAGGUGGUUUUGUAAGACAGUGGUGAAAUCCCCGGGCUCAACCUGGGAACUGCCAUUGUGACUGCAAGGCUGGAGUGCGGCAGAGGGGGAUGGAAUUCCGCGUGUAGCAGUGAAAUGCGUAGAUAUGCGGAGGAACACCGAUGGCGAAGGCAAUCCCCUGGGCCUGCACUGACGCUCAUGCACGAAAGCUGGGAGCAAACA